rnacentral:rRNA from 1 species
CCUACGGGAGGCAGCAGUAGGGAAUUUUGCGCAAUGGGCGAAAGCCUGACGCAGCAACGCCGCGUGAUCGAGACGCCCUUCGGGGUGUAAAGAUCUGUCAGUGGGGACGAAACUUGACGGUACCCACAGAGGAAGCACCGUCUAACUCCGUGCCAGCAGCCGCGGUAAUACGGGGGGUGCAAGCGUUGUACGGAAUCAUGGGGCGUAAGGGGUUCGUAGGCGGCACGUAAAGUCUGGUGUUAAAGGCAGGGGCUCAACUUCGGUACGGCACUGAAAACUUGCGGGCUAGAAUGCGGUAGAGGUAAGGGGAAUUCCUGGUGUAGCGGUGAAAUGCUUAGAUAUCAGGAGGAACAUCAGUGGCGAAGGCGCUUUACUGGGCCGUAAUUGACGCUGAGGAACGAAAGCGAGGGUAGCAAAUGGGAUUAGAUACCCUUGUAGUC